rnacentral:rRNA from 1 species
CAAAGAGGGGGACCUUCGGGCCUCUCGCGUCAGGAUAUGCCCAGGUGGGAUUAGCUAGUUGGUGAGGUAAGGGCUCACCAAGGCGACGAUCCCUAGCUGGUCUGAGAGGAUGAUCAGCCACACUGGAACUGAGACACGGUCCAGACUCCUACGGGAGGCAGCAGUGGGGAAUAUUGCACAAUGGGCGCAAGCCUGAUGCAGCCAUGCCGCGUGUGUGAAGAAGGCCUUCGGGUUGUAAAGCACUUUCAGUCGUGAGGAAGGUGGUAGUGUUAAUAGCACUAUCAUUUGACGUUAGCGACAGAAGAAGCACCGGCUAACUCCGUGCCAGCAGCCGCGGUAAUACGGAGGGUGCGAGCGUUAAUCGGAAUUACUGGGCGUAAAGCGCAUGCAGGUGGUUUGUUAAGUCAGAUGUGAAAGCCCGGGGCUCAACCUCGGAACUGCAUUUGAAACUGGCAGACUAGAGUACUGUAGAGGGGGGUAGAAUUUCAGGUGUAGCGGUGAAAUGCGUAGAGAUCUGAAGGAAUACCGGUGGCGAAGGCGGCCCCCUGGACAGAUACUGACACUCAGAUGCGAAAGCGUGGGGAGCAAACAGGAUUAGAUACCCUGGUAGUCCACGCUGUAAACGAUGUCUACUUGGAGGUUGUGGCCUUGAGCCGUGGCUUUCGGAGCUAACGCGUUAAGUAGACCGCCUGGGGAGUACGGUCGCAAGAUUAAAACUCAAAUGAAUUGACGGGGGCCCGCACAAGCGGUGGAGCAUGUGGUUUAAUUCGAUGCAACGCGAAGAACCUUACCUACUCUUGACAUCCAGAGAAUCUAGCGGAGACGCUGGAGUGCCUUCGGGAACUCUGAGACAGGUGCUGCAUGGCUGUCGUCAGCUCGUGUUGUGAAAUGUUGGGUUAAGUCCCGCAACGAGCGCAACCCUUAUCCUUGUUUGCCAGCGAGUAAUGUCGGGAACUCCAGGGAGACUGCCGGUGAUAAACCGGAGGAAGGUGGGGACGACGUCAAGUCAUCAUGGCCCUUACGAGUAGGGCUACACACGUGCUACAAUGGCGCAUACAGAGGGCGGCCAACUUGCGAAAGUGAGCGAAUCCCAAAAAGUGCGUCGUAGUCCGGAUUGGAGUCUGCAACUCGACUCCAUGAAGUCGGAAUCGCUAGUAAUCGUGGAUCAGAAUGCCACGGUGAAUACGUUCCCGGGCCUUGUACACACCGCCCGUCACACCAUGGGAGUGGGCUGCAAAAGAAGUGGGUAGUUUAACCUUCGGGAGGACGCUCACCACUUUGUGGUUCAUGACUGGGGUGAAGUCGUAACAAGGUAGCGCUAGGGGAACCUGGCGCUG